CACUGAACCAGUUCUUCUCUUUCAGCUCUAGAAAGAAGACAGUGGAAAUCUCCAUCGGCCUCCAAAAUCUUGCCAAGAAAAGUCCAGGAAGUUGCUACUGAUUCAGAAGCACAAAAAAGGAUGGGGGAAGUAAAAACAGAAGCGUCACAAUGUCCAGUCCAUUUUGUGGAGGUGGGGAGGAUUUAUGAACUGGAUCUUAGAAUAGAUAACUGCUGUAUGCAACUGAACAACUCCAUUACAAAGAUGGCUUCUGGAUGGAGAAAAUGACAGAACAUCUCUGAGAAGCAGGAACGAGCUGAGCUGGCAAUUGAUGAGCAGCUAUAGAGCGUAGUCUGGAGCAAGAAAUGAUGCAUCUCUGCUUCAGAAGGCAGAUCCUCACAAGGAAAUCCUACCUUGAAGGCAGAAUGGAGGAAAGAUUUGUAAAUCUGGAAGAAAAGGUGAAUAAAAAGUUUGAAGAAUUUGUAAACACAAGUGAGUGGAGAGGUGAAGGAAAAGUGAAAAUUCUGUAAAAUAAGUGCAAAAAAAUGAUAAACUGAGAGAUGGAAAAAGAUUUAGCCUUCAGAUGUUGUGGGUGCUCCAUCACUGGAGGUGUAAUAAUAACAGUAACAGAGUUGGAAGGGACCUUGGAGGUCAUCUAGUCCAAUCCCCUGCUCAUGCAGGAGACCUAUACUAGGGAUUUGAACCACAAACUGCCGAUCUUUCUGAUCGACAAGCUCAGCGUCUUAGCCACUGAGCCGCCUAGCCAGUGUAGAAUAGACUGGACAACCACUUGUCUGGAACAGUAUAGGGACUCCUGUUUGAGCAGGGGUUGGACGAAGACCUCCAAGACCCCUCCCAACUCUGUUAUUCUGACAGACAAUAUUGCAGCAAGGCUACUGUAUACAUGAAGAUGGAAAAAUACUGAAAUACCCACAAUGCUGGUGUGGAUUGCAAAGAAAGCAGAAAUGGCAAAUUUAACAUGUUUAAUCUGGGAUAAAACAGUAUGGUCCUUUAUAAAAGACUUGGAACACUUUAUAAACUUUAUGCUGAACCUGGAGACUGGGGAGAAUGAGUCGGUGAUCUUGGGAUUUGAUGUUUAAAAAAGGUUGAAGAUGUGAUUUUGUCACUUACAGAUAAAUAUUAAUUUUCAAAAG